CCGCAAGGUUGAAANUCAAAGGAAUUGACGGGGGCCCGCACAAGCGGUGGAGCAUGUGGUUUAAUUNGAAGCAACGCGAAGAACCUUNCCAGGUCUUGACAUCCCGAUGCCCGCUCUAGAGAUAGAGUUUUUCUUCGGAACAUCGGAGACAGGUGGUGCAUGGUUGUCGUCAGCUCGUGUCGUGAGAUGUUGGGUUAAGUCCCGCAACGAGCGCAACCCUUAUUGUUAGUUGCCAUCAUUAAGUUGGGCACUCUAGCGAGACUGCCGGUAAUAAACCGGAGGAAGGUGGGGAUGACGCCAAAUCAUCAUGCCCCUUAUGACCUGGGCUACACACGUGCUACAAUGGUUGGUACAACGAGUCGCAAGCCGGNG
rnacentral:rRNA from 1 species